CCUACGGGAGGCAGCAGUGAGGAAUAUUGGUCAAUGGACGAGAGUCUGAACCAGCCAAGUAGCGUGAAGGAUGACUGCCCUAAGGGUUGUAAACUUCUUUUAUAAAGGAAUAAAACGAGGCACGUGUGCCUUUUUGCAUGUACUUUAUGAAUAAGCAUCGGCUAACUCCGUGCCAGCAGCCGCGGUAAUACGGAGGCUCCGAGCGUUAUCCGGAUUUAUUGGGUUUAAAGGGAGCCUAGAUGGGUUGUUAAGUCAGUUGUGAAAGUUUGCGGCUCAACCGUAAGAUUGCAAUUGAGACUGGCAGUCUUGAGUACAGUUGAGGUAGGCGGAAUUCGUGGUGUAGCGGUGAAAUGCUUAGAUAUCACGAAGAACCCCGAUUGCGAAGGCAGCUUACUAAACUGUGACUGACAUUGAUGCUCGAAAGUGUGGGUAUCGAACAGGAUUAGAUACCCGAGUAGUC
rnacentral:rRNA from 1 species